UGGAACGCGCCCCAGGCGCACCCAGAAACCCUUUGUGAACUUAUACCUUUUGUUGCCUCGGCGCAUGCUGGUCUCUAGUAGGCCCCUCACCCCGGUGAGGAGACGGCACGCCGGCGGCCAAAUCAACUCUGUUUUUACACUGAAACUCUGAGAAAAAACACAAAUGAAUCAAAACUUUCAACAACGGAUCUCUUGGUUCUGGCAUCGAUGAAGAACGCAGCGAAAUGCGAUAAGUAAUGUGAAUUGCAGAAUUCAGUGAAUCAUCGAAUCUUUGAACGCACAUUGCGCCCUCUGGUAUUCCGGAGGGCAUGCCUGUUCGAGCGUCAUUUCAACCCUCAAGCAUUGCUUGGUGUUGGGGCACUGCCUGUAAAAGGGCAGGCCCUGAAAUCUAGUGGCGAGCUCGCCAGGACCCCGAGCGCAGUAGUUAAACCCUCGCUUUGGAAGGCCCUGGCGGUGCCCUGCCGUUAAACCCCCAACUUUUGAAAAUUUGACCUCGGAUCAGGUAGGAAUACCCGCUGAACUUAAGCAUA
rnacentral:rRNA from 1 species